rnacentral:rRNA from 1 species
UACGUAGGGUGCAAGCGUUAAUCGGAAUUACUGGGCGUAAAGCGUGCGCAGGCGGUUUUGUAAGUCUGUCGUGAAAGCCCCGGGCUCAACCUGGGAAUUGCGAUGGAGACUGCAAGGCUUGAAUCUGGCAGAGGGGGGUAGAAUUCCACGUGUAGCAGUGAAAUGCGUAGAGAUGUGGAGGAACACCGAUGGCGAAGGGCAGCCCCCUGGGCUAACACUGACGCUCAGGCACGAAAGCGUGGGGAGCAAACAGG